GACGAACGCUGGCGGCGUGCUUAACACAUGCAAGUCGAACGAAGUGGCGCACGGGUGAGUAACGCGUAAUCAACCUGCCCUUCAUAGGGGGACAACAGUUGGAAACGACUGCUAAUACCGCAUACUGAAGGAGGAGAUUGCGGCUGAUUAGCUAGUUGGAGGGGUAACGGCCAACCAAGGCGAUGAUCAGGAGCCGGUCGGAGAGGAUGAACGACGACAUUGGGACUGGAACACGGCCCCGACUCAUACGGGAGGCAGCAGUGGGGAAUCUUAAGAACUGGAAGAGAGUCUUACGGAGAAACGCCGCGUGAGUGAUGACGGCCUUCGGGUUGUAAAGCUCUGUUAAUCGGGACGCGGUACCGGAAUAGAAAGCCACGGCUAACUACGUGCCAGCCGCCGCGGUAAUAC
rnacentral:rRNA from 1 species